rnacentral:rRNA from 1 species
UAGGGAAUCUUCGGCAAUGGACGGAAGUCUGACCGAGCAACGCCGCGUGAGUGAAGAAGGUUUUCGGAUCGUAAAGCUCUGUUGUUAGAGAAGAACGUUGGUAGGAGUGGAAAAUCUACCAAGUGACGGUAACUAACCAGAAAGGGACGGCUAACUACGUGCCAGCCGCCGCGGUAAUACGUAGGUCCCGAGCGUUGUCCGGAUUUAUUGGGCGUAAAGCGAGCGCAGGCGGUUCUUUAAGUCUGAAGUUAAAGGCAGUGGCUUAACCAUUGUACGCUUUGGAAACUGGAGGACGUGAGUGCAGAAGGGGAGAGUGAAAUUCCAUGUGUAGCGGUGAAAUGCGUAGAUAUAUGGAGGAACACCGGUGGCGAAAGCGGCUCUCUGGUCUGUAACUUACGCUGAGGCUCGAAAGCGUGGGGAGCAAACAGU